rnacentral:rRNA from 1 species
UAGUCCACGCAGUAAACGAUGAUAACUCGUUGUAGGCGAUAUACAGUCUGUAACCAAGCGAAAGCGAUAAGUUAUCCACCUGGGGAGUACGACCGCAAGGUUGAAACUCAAAGGAAUUGACGGGGGCCCGCACAAGCGGAGGAACAUGUGGUUUAAUUCGAUGAUACGCGAGGAACCUUACCCGGGCUUGAAAGUUAGCGACCGACCAAGAAAUUGGUUUUCUCUUCGGAGCGCGAAACUAGGUGCUGCAUGGUUGUCGUCAGCUCGUGCCGUGAGGUGUCGGGUUAAGUCCCAUAACGAGCGCAACCCCUACUGAUAGUUGCCAGCGGAUAAUGCCGGGGACUCUAUCGGGACUGCCAGUGUAAACUGCGAGGAAGGUGGGGAUGACGUCAAAUCAGCACGGCCCUUACGUCCGGGGCGACACACGUGUUACAAUGGUCGGUACAGAGGGUAGCUACCUGGUGACAGGAUGCCAAUCUCUAAAGCCGAUCUCAGUUCGGAUUGGAGGCUGAAACUCGCCUCC